UAGUGACUGCGAGUGAAGAGGGAAAAGCUCAAAUUUAAAAUCUGGCAGCCUCUGGCUGUCCGAGUUGUAAAUUAGAGAAGUGUUAUCCGCUCAAGCCUGUGCAAAAGUCUCUUGGAAAAGGGCAUCAUAGAGGGUGACAAUCCCGUCUUUGGCACAGAUCUCUUGGGCUUUUGUGAUACGCUCUCGAUGAGUCGAGUUGUUUGGGAAUGCAGCUCCAAAUGGGUGGUAAAUUCCAUCUAAAGCUAAAUAUGGCGAGAAACCGAUAGCGCACAAGUACCGUGAGGGAAAGAUGAAAAGCACUUUGAAAAGAGAGUUAAACAGUAUGUGAAAUUGUUGAAAGGGAAACGCUUGAAGUCAGUUGUAUCCUUCAGAAUCAACCUGAGCUUUUUGGCUGGGUGUAUUUUUUGUUGGAUGGGUCAGCAUCAAUUUUGAUCAUUGGAUAAAGGACUUGGGAAUGUGGCAUCUUUUGAUGUGUUAUAGCCCCUGUUUGUAUACAAUGAUUGGGAUUGAGGAACUCAGUGUGACUUUGGUUUGGGGGUAUUGCACCUCACACACGCACUUAGGAUGCUGGCAUAAUGGCUUUAAUCGACCCGUCUUGAAACACGGACCAAGGAGUCUAACAUGCAUGCAAGUGUUUGGGUGGAAAACUCAAGCGCGCAAUGAAAGUGAAAGUUGAGAACCCUUUGGGGUGCAUUGACGCCCGGUCUUGAUCUUUUGUGACGGACCUGCGGUAGAGCAUGUAUGUUGGGACCCGAAAGAUGGUGAACUAUGCCUGAAUAGGGUGAAGUCAGAGGAAACUCUGAUGGAAGCUCGUAGCGAUUCUGACGUGCAAAUCGAUCGUCAAAUUUGGGUAUAGGGGCGAAAGACUAAUCGAACCAUCUAGUAGCUGGUUCCCGCCGAAGUUUCCCUCAGGAUAGCAGACACUCAUGAAUCAGAUUUAUGUGGUAAAGCGAAUGAUUAGAGGCCUUGGGGUUGAAACAACCUUAACCUAUUCUCAAACUUUAAAUAUGUAAGAUGAAACUGUUGCUUAAUUGAACUGUUUCGUGAUUGAAGAGUGUCUAGUGGGCCAUUUUUGGUAAGCAGAACUGGCGAUGCGGGAUGAACCGAACGUGAGGUUAAAGUGCCGGAAUCUACGCUCAUCAGACACCACAAAAGGUGUUAGUUCAUAUAGACAGCAGGACGGUGGCCAUGGAAGUUGGAAUCCGCUAAGGAGUGUGUAACAACUCACCUGCCGAAUGAACUAGCCCUGAAAAUGGAUGGCGCUUAAGCGUAGUACUCAUACCUCCCC
rnacentral:rRNA from 1 species